GGGUGCAAUCAUACUAGUGUUAAUGCACCAGAUCCCAUAAAAAAUCCGCAGUUAAGCAUGCUUGGGCUAGAGUAGUAUUGGGAUGGGUGACCUCCUAAGAAGUCCUAGUGUUGCACCUU
rnacentral:rRNA from 1 species